rnacentral:rRNA from 1 species
GGUGGUGCAUGGUUGUCGUCAGCUCGUGUCGUGAGAUGUUGGGUUAAGUCCCGCAACGAGCGCAACCCUUAUUACUAGUUGCCAGCAUUUAGUUGGGCACUCUAGUGAGACUGCCGGUGACAAACCGGAGGAAGGUGGGGACGACGUCAAAUCAUCAUGCCCCUUAUGACCUGGGCUACACACGUGCUACAAUGGAUGGUACAACGAGUUGCGAGACCGCGAGGUUUAGCUAAUCUCUUAAAACCAUUCUCAGUUCGGAUUGUAGGCUGCAACUCGCCUACAUGAAGCCGGAAUCGCUAGUAAUCGCGGAUCAGCAUGCCGCGGUGAAUACGUUCCCGGGCCUUGUACAC